CAACAACUUCAUUAUUUGGUACAUCUGGAACAUCAUUUGGGUUUUCGACAAGUACACCAGCUUUCGGUGCACAAAGUACCUCUCUCUUUGGAACUUCAACUUCUCCAUCAUUUACGAUGACUGGCCCUACUUUAGCUGGAUCGUCGACUUCGUUUGGUUCAUCUACACCAUCUUUUGGUAGUAAAAGAUUUGGAACUACGUCAUGAGACUUUGGCAUCCAGAACUCCACCUAUGGUUCUCAAACAACAAAUUUCACAUUUGGUGUUCAACAAGGGGGUGGUAGGAUGGCGAAGCAUACAUCAACACUUACUGAAGAUUAGACAAUAAACAGCCUAAUAUUUAUCUGCAGUCAAUAUCUAUGAUGCCUGUGUACAUAGAUAAGAGUCAUGAGGAGCUUAGAUGGUUGGACUACCAAUGCGGAGAUAAAGGAGGCCCAAAUUCUGCUGGACAACAUGGAACUACUGGUAGUUUUCCCUCGCCAGAGAAAGGUAAUGCU